rnacentral:lncRNA from 1 species
UGUCCAGUAUUGUUAUCAAUAGCAGUGUUCAUCAUCUUCAUCAUCUUCAUCUUCGUCUUCAUCACCACCACCACCACCACCAUCAGCAGUAGAAAGGAUUGAGGUCAGUACCACGUCAUCCUUUCUCAAGACAGAGCUGAAACAAAAUGCCCUUCUUAGAUCUGACCAUGACAUUAGCACCUACAUUUAAACUACUGUCCACUGUGACCACAGUCACAUAGUGUCAAUUUACUCCUAUUUGAGGUCCAUAGGCUUCAACUACUUUAGAGAGAAUCAGGUAACUACAGAAGAAUGUCUUGCUUUGUGAGGUAUUUGGGAUCCCAAAGACUAGUUGAGGAUAAUGCAAUAUAGUAUAUGUUUCCAAUAGGAUUAUAUCAUAUUUAUUUAGGCUGCUCAGUUAAGAGCCUUUAUAUUCUUUAUGCAUUUUAUUUAUCUUAAAAUCUGUCCUAAAUAUAGCAUAACGUUUAUAGAGUCACUGAACAUGAUAAAAGGUUAUAAUAAUCCUUUAAGACAAACUUACUAGAUAUUCUAUUAGGGAACAUAAAAGACUUUAUGGAAGUGGAAUGUAAGUGUUUAUUAGUACAGAUAUUUUGAAAUCUAUAUAUAGCUUUUCAUAACAAUUUUCAUGAAAUUUUUGAAGAUCCUUCAUAUGCAUGGGUUUCAAAAUUCUUUCAUAUCAAAAUAAAUGUAUCUUUUAAUUCUAAAAAUCAAUAUAGGCUGUACCACUAGAGGAAAAAUUUCCCAUAUGUGAAUAUAUCUUACUUCCUGGGCAUUUAACCGGAUAGGAAGCAGUGGUUUCCAGAGGAAUCAGAUCACCAUCUCUCUGGGGACUAAUCCUGUUCACACACAGUAAAUCUCCCAAUGAAUCCACUUCUUUUUCACAGAGCUCUCAGGAAACUCAACAUGGCCAUAUCUUGGAACCUUAGGAAGAGGAAAGUGGAUGCCCUGUGUCUGUGCAUCUACCUUAAAUACUGCAAGUUUGGAAACAGCAAGAUGAUUAUCAACCUGAACAUAUUAUUAGAGAGGAAAGAUUAAAUAGCCUGAUCCCACAGAUUCAAGGAGCUUAUAUUUAGUAAAUGGAAAAUAUCUGAGAAAACUUCUGAAAAUUUCAAGGUUAUCAACUUAUUUUUGAGAGGAUGGUUAUUUUGGAACAUAUGAAAAAUUAUUACUGGACUAUUCUUUGAGUUUGAAUUAAGACCAUUACAAACAGAAAAAUCAGUAUUAACUUCCG